rnacentral:rRNA from 1 species
ACCGUGUGCUUACAAGUAGUCAGAGCCCGUUAAUGGGUGAUGGCGUGCCUUUUGUAGAAUGAACCGGCGAGUUACGAUUUGAUGCAAGGUUAAGCAGUAAAUGUGGAGCCGUAGCGAAAGCGAGUCUGAAUAGGGCGUUUAGUAUUUGGUCGUAGACCCGAAACCAGGUGAUCUACCCUUGGUCAGGUUGAAGUUCAGGUAACACUGAAUGGAGGACCGAACCGACUUACGUUGAAAAGUGAGCGGAUGAACUGAGGGUAGCGGAGAAAUUCCAAUCGAACCUGGAGAUAGCUGGUUCUCUCCGAAAUAGCUUUAGGGCUAGCCUCAAGUGAUGAUUAUUGGAGGUAGAGCACUGUUUGGACGAGGGGCCCCUCUCGGGUUACCGAAUUCAGACAAACUCCGAAUGCCAAUUAAUUUAACUUGGGAGUCAGAACAUGGGUGAUAAGGUCCGUGUUCGAAAGGGAAACAGCCCAGACCACCAGCUAAGGUCCCAAAAUAUAUGUUAAGUGGAAAAGGAUGUGGCGUUGCCCAGACAACUAGGAUGUUGGCUUAGAAGCAGCCAUCAUUUAAAGAGUGCGUAAUAGCUCACUAGUCGAGUGACACUGCGCCGAAAAUGUACCGGGGCUAAACAUAUUACCGAAGCUGUGGAUUGUCCUUUGGACAAUGGUAGGAGAGCGUUCUAAGGGCGUUGAAGCAUGAUCGUAAGGACAUGUGGAGCGCUUAGAAGUGAGAAUGCCGGUGUGAGUAGCGAAAGACGGGUGAGAAUCCCGUCCACCGAUUGACUAAGGUUUCCAGAGGAAGGCUCGUCCGCUCUGGGUUAGUCGGGUCCUAAGCUGAGGCCGACAGGCGUAGGCGAUGGAUAACAGGUUGAUAUUCCUGUACCACCUAUAAUCGUUUUAAUCGAUGGGGGGACGCAGUAGGAUAGGCGAAGCGUGCGAUUGGAUUGCACGUCUAAGCAGUAAGGCUGAGUAUUAGGCAAAUCCGGUACUCGUUAAGGCUGAGCUGUGAUGGGGAGAAGACAUUGUGUCUUCGAGUCGUUGAUUUCACACUGCCGAGAAAAGCCUCUAGAUAGAAAAUAGGUGCCCGUACCGCAAACCGACACAGGUAGUCAAGAUGAGAAUUCUAAGGUGAGCGAGCGAACUCUCGUUAAGGAACUCGGCAAAAUGACCCCGUAACUUCGGGAGAAGGGGUGCUCUUUAGGGUUAACGCCCAGAAGAGCCGCAGUGAAUAGGCCCAAGCGACUGUUUAUCAAAAACACAGGUCUCUGCUAAACCGUAAGGUGAUGUAUAGGGGCUGACGCCUGCCCGGUGCUGGAAGGUUAAGAGGAGUGGUUAGCUUCUGCGAAGCUACGAAUCGAAGCCCCAGUAAACGGCGGCCGUAACUAUAACGGUCCUAAGGUAGCGAAAUUCCUUGUCGGGUAAGUUCCGACCCGCACGAAAGGCGUAACGAUUUGGGCACUGUCUCAACGAGAGACUCGGUGAAAUCAUAGUACCUGUGAAGAUGCAGGUUACCCGCGACAGGACGGAAAGACCCCGUGGAGCUUUACUGUAGCCUGAUAUUGAAAUUCGGCACAGCUUGUACAGGAUAGGUAGGAGCCUUUGAAACGUGAGCGCUAGCUUACGUGGAGGCGCUGGUGGG